UGGACCGAAAAAAUUCGCAGAACCGAACCGUUAUUUCUUUUUAGAACCGAAACCGGACCGGAAUCGUUAUAAAUAUUUUGGCUUAAAUAUAAACAGAUCCGGAACCGAUAUUUCAUUUGGUUCCGGGUCCCUGACUCUUACUUUUUUACAGAUAUUCCGAUUCAUCUAUAAAGCGUGGAUUCAUAUGGGAAGGCAUGUGAUUCUACGAUAUUAAUGAAUUGUACUUCCUCGAGUACAUUUUGGCAAAAGUUGAAUGAUGGCGAUGAAGGUUUUGAAUUAACAUCAUUAUGGAGGUAAACGUUUAGAUCAUAAUAAAAAAAUUUAUAACUAUAGCUCGAACCGUGUUAGAAGGUAUGUUGAAUGUGCCUUUGGUAUUCUAGCCAACAAAUGCAGGAGAAUACUGCAUCGGUCGAUAGAUCUUCAAACAGAAUCGGCGAUCGACUUCAUCAAAGAGCUUGUACAGUUUUACAUCACUUUGUUUGAGAUAAAGAUGGAAUUAAUUUAGAACAUAAGCAAAACCCAAUUUCUAUGGAAGCAAGUGAAGAAAGAACCCAUCCCAAAAAACAAAGUAGAGGUGCGAACGUGAUUCGAACAGCAUUUGACGAUUACAUUGUGUCUGAUACUGGUUCCAUACCUUGGCAGGAAGCAGCGAGUAUCCCAGAAAUCCCGAUAGACUACAUCGGCGAU